GGGUCUGUAGCUCAGUUGGUAAAGGCGUCGCGUCGGCUCGCAAGUAGGAGAUUGCAGGUUCAAUCCCUGCAUGGUAGGGCCU